AGAGAAUGAACAGAGCAGGAGGCAGAAAGUUCAGCAGAAGAGGAGUCAGGGUCAGAGUUCGACUUCUUUGCUAGCUAGUAAAAAGCUGAAGGGAUCACAGUCAGCAGGACAGGGCCAGAGAUAGAGUCAGAGGCAGGGUCAGGACUCCACAAUUAGGUCUGGACAGUAGGCCACUUCAGUUGCUAGUGCUGGAGGUUUGGGUAGGGGUAUGCACCCACUCUGUGAGCAUUGUGGUAGGAGGCACAGUGAAACAUGCAGGAAGCUGACAGGUGCCUAUUUUAGAUGUGGUUCCAUUGAUCACAUUAUGAGAGAUUGCCCUAAAGGGCAAGCUGCAGCAGCCCCGUAGAUUGAGAGAUCUGCUCCCACUAUUCAGAGAGGUAAAGGCCGGGGUAGAGGUGACACAGUUGGUGCAGCUAGUCAGAGGACUGCAUCCGAGAUAGUUGACAGGCCAGGUGCCUGUACACCUGCCAGAGUAUAUGCCAUCAGGGCGAGGGAGGA
rnacentral:misc_RNA from 1 species